CCAGAGUUAUAUCAAAUAGGAGUAGCUUAUGCAAAACUAGACUCGCAGAAGCAGGAA
rnacentral:sRNA from 1 species